rnacentral:rRNA from 1 species
UGACUGACUGAGUGCCAGCCGCCGCGGUAAUACGUACGGGGCAAGCGUUAUCCGGAUUUACUGGGUGUAAAGGGAGCGUAGACGGCUGUUGCAAGUCUGGAGUGAAAACCCGGGGCUCAACCCCGGGAUUGCUUUGGAAACUGUGUAGCUGGAGUACCGGAGAGGCAAGUGGAAUUCCUAGUGUAGCGGUGAAAUGCGUAGAUAUUAGGAGGAACACCAGUGG